GGGCAUGUAGUAUAGCUGGUUAUUGCGCCCGCUUAGCAUUCCAAAGAAGCUCGUGUGGGAGGUCCGGCGUUCGAGUCGCCGCUUGUCCA